CAGCAUUUUUAUAUCCUUAUGAGUUACAGGCUGCCUGUUCCUGUUGGCCCCACCAAGUUGUAACUUUCCUGGAUGCUGGGAAACCACAGUCUGAAGCUCAAGCCUCUGCAGCAGCAGCAGGAGAAGGUUCUAGAACCAGGACACACACCCAGAGGUGAAACAAAAGUGAAGCGCGAAGACAAGGACGGCCGUGCCAGCUGCCGGAGGAGGGCAUUGUCUGCGUGCAUCUGAGGAGAAAAGGAAGCCGUUUGGCAGCGUGGGGCGCCGGGAGCCGGGAGGAGCUGGCGAUCUGCACGGGGAGGGAGUGUGUGGCGGUGCCCACGGUGCCCACGGCCCUGACUGCACGGCCUGACAGGUGCUGGGGGGCGGCGCCGGGCACAGCUGCCCGAGCAGGG
rnacentral:lncRNA from 1 species